rnacentral:misc_RNA from 1 species
CAGUGACUUUACCGUCAAACCACCGCGAAUAAUACCGUGACGUUGCCUCGGCGGGCGCUGCGGCGCAGGGCCCUAUGGGCCCAGCGCUCGGCGUCAAGCCCGCCGGCGGCCUUAAACUCUGUCUCAUUAAGCGUUACAUCUCUGAGUCUCACAUAAUGAGUCA